CACGUAGGCGGCUUGGUUAGUCAGAUGUGAAAGCCCGGGCUUAACCUCGGAAGUGCAUUUGAUACUGCCAGGCUUGAGUAUGGGAGAGGGAAGUGGAAUUCCUGGUGUAGAGGUGAAAUUCGUAGAUAUCAGGAGGAACACCGGUGGCGAAGGCGACUUCCUGGACCAAUACUGACGCUGAGGUGCGAAGGCGUGGGUAGCAAACA
rnacentral:rRNA from 1 species